UUUCUCUCACUUCCUCACUCUUUCUUCUUCCUGUUUUUUUCUUCAGUCCUUCCUGAUUCUUUUUUUUCUGAACUAUUAUUCCUGAUUUUAUAAGUUUAUAUUCUCUUUGAUUUUAACAUAUUGUGUCAAUCUAAAAGGUGAGAAACAAUCAUCAUCCAUGGUGACUGGCAAUCUGAAGAAGAUAGCUUCCAUUGAUGCUCAGCACAUACUAAUUGCUC
rnacentral:lncRNA from 1 species